rnacentral:rRNA from 1 species
UACGUAGGGUGCGAGCGUUGUCCGGAAUUAUUGGGCGUAAAGGGCUCGUAGGCGGUUUGUCACGUCGGGAGUGAAAACUCGGGGCUCAACCCCGAGCCUGCUUCCGAUACGGGCAGACUAGAGGUAUGCAGGGGAGAAUGGAAUUCCUGGUGUAGCGGUGAAAUGCGUUGAUAUCAUCUGGAAUACCGGAGGCGAAGGCGGCUCACUGGGGGUUUUCUGACGCUGAGGAACGAAAGCCAGGGUAGCGAACGGG